rnacentral:rRNA from 1 species
UGUUUCGGCUAGGGGGUCAUCCCGACUUACCAACCCGAUGCAAACUACGAAUACCGAAGAAUGUUAUCACGGGAGACACACGGCGGGUGCUAACGUCCGUCGUGAAGAGGGAAACAACCCAGACCGCCAGCUAAGGUCCCAAAGUCACAGUUAAGUGGGAAACGAUGUGGGAAGGCACAGACAGCCAGGAUGUUGGCUUAGAAGCAGCCAUCAUUUAAAGAAAGCGUAAUAGCUCACUGGUCGAGUCGGCCUGCGCGGAAGAUGUAACGGGGCUAAACUGUGCACCGAAGCUGCGGCAGCGACACUAUGUGUUGUUGGGUAGGGGAGCGUUCUGUAAGCCUGCGAAGGUGGCCUGUGAGGGUUGCUGGAGGUAUCAGAAGUGCGAAUGCUGACAUAAGUAACGAUAAUGCGGGUGAAAAGCCCGCACGCCGGAAGACCAAGGGUUCCUGUCCAACGUUAAUCGGGGCAGGGUGAGUCGACCCCUAAGGCGAGGCCGAAAGGCGUAGUCGAUGGGAAACAGGUUAAUAUUCCUGUACUUGGUGUUACUGCGAAGGGG